CAAGUCAGACAUGUGGAGUUUCAGCAUUGUUCUGCACGCAACAUCAGUCGAAACCCCAAAAGAGUAAAUAAAGCUCCAUAAUAAUAAUACUACUACUGUACGAGUACAGUGGCAGGGAGGUAGUGACUGAAUGACUGUCUCCUUGAGAAACCACCAAAAAAAAGAACCUCACUAAAAAUAACUAUUCUGUCAUCAUUGACUCAAUUUCUGUUGUUCCAAAACAUUUCAUUUGUUAAACCUGCUUUAUUGUAAAUCCUUUGAUGCAGUUGUGUAUCCAGAAUAUAGGAAGUUAUGUCCACAGUCCGUCCAUGGCUAUCCAUCUUCUUAAUCUUCUCAAGGAUAACUGGAGGUUACCGGCUCCAUCUCAGUGUCCACCAAAGGUGCACAGUAUUAUGAUGCAGUGUUGGGAGUUCAACAGUGAGGAUAGACCAAGCUUCUCCUCUCUACAGGACCUGAUUGAGAAUAGUCUGGUUAGAUGAGAGAGAGGGCUGUAAGGGGUAAAAUCAGAGUUACCCUUAACAGAUCACUGUAUUUUCAACAUAUGUAUAUUUGAUAUAUAUUUGAGUAUUUUAGGACAUAUUACAGUAGCUUUUUCAGUGUUUUGCUUCUUUCAAAAACAUAACCGUAGUUGCAGUAGAUCAGCUUGUAUAUUUGCCCAUUCAUUUACAGAGCUAGCACUACCUGUUUAACCAUAUUCCUUGAUAAAAAUCAUAAAUCAUUUUUACUCUGUUCUCAGCUGGGUAUUUUGGGUUUGUGAAGUCAGGCAAGAUCAUGAAAAUGGGCCUAUUGGUUGCUUUCUUUGCACUGUAACUUGGUAGUUGACAAAUAAACAUGAACCAUUUUUCA